rnacentral:rRNA from 1 species
AUGUCAACUAUUUCAUGCCCUCUUUUUUCCACACUAUCUAUUGCAUCUGUCUCUCAUACAAUGUCUGUACAUUCAAUUAUGUUUCCUGUUUAUCAGCCAUUUGAAAUGGAGCGGGUGAUGCCAGUAUCUAGCGGACUAAAAACACGGUCUUCAAAUAAAACAGUGCUACCUAUUGGUGGAGAUAGCACCCUAGUUGUACAUGUACAAGAACCAGCGCUACCACACAUAACUCAAACUCUCGCAGAUUGUACCCCUACUACGAUGGACAGAGAACCAGCUUCACCCAAUCUAACCCCAACCCCAGCCGAUAGUAACCUAGUUCUUGUUGACACAGCACCAUCUCCACCACAGAGCUCCCAAACAAGAGCAGUUAGUAAGGCAGCUCCAGUGCCCAAAGGGCCAGUACUAUCACGGCGAACCCCAACUCCACCAGUUAGUACGCCUAUUCCUGUGAGGAAGCACAACCAGCUAGUCGUAGUUUAG